rnacentral:rRNA from 1 species
UCGAACGGUAAGGCUCCAGCUUGCUGGGGUACACGAGUGGCGAACGGGUGAGUAACACGUGGGUGACCUGCCCUGCACUUCGGGAUAAGCCUGGGAAACUGGGUCUAAUACCGGAUAGGACCGCACUGUGAGGGUGUGGUGGAAAGUUUUUUCGGUGUGGGAUGGGCCCGCGGCCUAUCAGCUUGUUGGUGGGGUAAUAGCCUACCAAGGCGGCGACGGGUAGCCGGCCUGAGAGGGUGGACGGCCACAUUGGGACUGAGACACGGCCCAGACUCCUACGGGAGGCAGCAGUGGGGAAUAUUGCACAAUGGGCGGAAGCCUGAUGCAGCGACGCCGCGUGGGGGAUGACGGCCUUCGGGUUGUAAACUCCUUUCACCACCGACGAAGGGUUUCUGACGGUAGAUGGAGAAGAAGCACCGGCUAACUACGUGCCAGCAGCCGCGGUAAUACGUAGGGUGCGAGCGUUGUCCGGAAUUACUGGGCGUAAAGAGCUCGUAGGUGGUUUGUCGCGUCGUCUGUGAAAUUCCGGGGCUUAACUCCGGGCGUGCAGGCGAUACGGGCAUAACUUGAGUACUGUAGGGGAGACUGGAAUUCCUGGUGUAGCGGUGAAAUGCGCAGAUAUCAGGAGGACACCGGUGGCGAAGGCGGGUCUCUGGGCAGUAACUGACGCUGAGGAGCGAAAGCAUGGGGAGCGAACAGGAUU